rnacentral:rRNA from 1 species
GUGACAUACCAAUUGUUGCCUCGGCGGAUCAGCCCGCUCCCGGUAAAACGGGACGGCCCGCCAGAGGACCCUUAAACUCUGUUUCUAUAUGUAACUUCUGAGUAAAACCAUAAAUAAAUCAAAACUUUCAACAACGGAUCUCUUGGUUCUGGCAUCGAUGAAGAACGCAGCAAAAUGCGAUAAGUAAUGUGAAUUGCAGAAUUCAGUGAAUCAUCGAAUCUUUGAACGCACAUUGCGCCCGCCAGUAUUCUGGCGGGCAUGCCUGUUCGAGCGUCAUUUCAACCCUCAAGCCCAGCUUGGUGUUGGGACUCGCGAGUUAAAUCGCGUUCCCCAAAUUGAUUGGCGGUCACGUCGAGCUUCCAUAGCGUAGUAGUAAAACCCUCGUUACUGGUAAUCGUCGCGGCCACGCCGUUAAACCCCAACUUCUGAAUGUUGACCUCGGAUCAGGUAGGAAUACCCGCUGAACUUAAGCAUAU